rnacentral:tRNA from 1 species
UGCCAUAGCUUAGUUGGUAGAGCAAAGGACUGAAAAUCCUUGUGUACCCGGUUCGAUUCCUGGUGGCAC